ensembl:snRNA U4 U4 spliceosomal RNA
AGCUUUGCGCAGUGGCAGUAUCGUAGUCUAUGAGGUCUAUCCGAGGCGCGAUUAUUGCUAGUUGAAAACUUUACCCAAUACCCCGCCUUGACGACUUGAAAUAUAGUCGGCAACGGCAAUUUUUGACAGUCUCUAAGGAGA